ensembl:lncRNA
AAUUUGGCUCCAGAGAAAUGUAGUUUGGGCCUUAAUAUCACCUUGAUUCAACCUGGCUUUCCAGAAGGAUCUCUGCUGUCGUAGGGAACAGCACUAACAGACAACCAGUUCUAAAUUACCCCUCCAAAAAAGGUGAUGGUGACAAUUCAUUUAAAGAAAAAAAGAAAGAUUUACUCCCCUGUCCUCAGGAUCAGGGCUCUCCAGGUAGAGAUCCUUCCCUGGUGGGAAGGGAGCUUAGUGAGGGGUAGAAACUGGUUCCACUCCUUCCAGGCACACAGGUGAAUUGCUGUUGAGUCACAGCCUGAACCACUGAUUGAGCACCUGGGGGAAAGGACCCGGUCAGCCCUUGGAGCACAGGUGAAGGCAAUUCAGUUGUGUGACUAGGAGAGGUGGAGCCUGGCUGCAUCUCUCUUAGACCCCAUUUAGGGGCUGACUGCCAUUGAGGAAAGGUCUCUGGUUGGAAAACUCUUCCUUGAGUGUUUUUUCUCUGCAAGCCUUGAUCUUCAGAGAUGGGUUGUGCUCAAAGGGCUGCGUCUUAUGGAUGUCACCUGGAACUGCUGCUGGGAUCUGCUGCAUGGUUCCAGCUCCCUGGCAAGGGCCUCAUCAGAGGAGGCUUGGGGAGCUUCGGCUUGGGAAGAGAUCCUGACUCUUCACCUCCGAGCUGGGAUGAGUUCCUCCUUCCUAACGACUUACCCACAUCUCAGGUUCAGGGAAUUCUUGUGUGAGUCAUAGUCUGCCGAAGAGUUUUUCCCUCUCUCCCCAGAUACUAAUAUUUUGAACAAGUCUCACUCUUUAUUAUCAUGGAGAUAUAAGGGAAAUAUCCCACAAGGACAGGGGUAGGUCUGAACUGCAUGUCAGAAACUUUGCUGUUAAGAUUACAUGUGAUGUGUGACCAGACUGUUUGGAUCUGCGGUCGGGCCCCAGAAGAUGUGUGUGGUGACUGACCACAUCCCCUCCGGAAGGGGAAUGUUUGAGUUCAUUGUGUCGGUGAAGUGCCGGGGUUUGAUCGUGGCGUGGAUUUAGUGGAGGUGGGAGAGGGGAAAGGGGCUACCGGGGCCGCGCUCCGCCCCGCACACUCGGCCGCGGGGAGCAGCUCAUUUGUCCGGGACGCACCGGACUCCGCCGUAUGGUGGAUGCAUCAUAUUUCUGUCUGCGAUUUCCUGCAUGGAAAAAUGAGAGCCAAGAGCAACUGCUCCUACAUCCCCUGGGGUGGUCCUAAGCUGGGGCUGAGGCUACAGAUGUGCUCGCGCCUCCCCAUCGCCGUCCCCUCCCAGAUGGCAGAGCACCGCGUUUCCGAGGCUGCUCGGCCACGUAUCCACUUUCUUUGGAAAUAUGUCAGGAGCAGUUUCUGGUUCUUUGUUAUCUUUAGUUCAUCAGAUAUUUUUCAGGUGGCCCUUAGCUCAGCUGCCAGGGCAUAUGUAGGUAGAUACCAUUGGUCGGGUCAGGAACCUGACCAUGCUCUCCUGCACCAAAUUGCAUCCAACAAAACACCUACGUACUCAAAGCUGGCAAGAAGCACUGCACCUCUUGUCAGGAGGCCUAUGGUAGUUCACAGAUUUCUGGAAAGCUUUGCAAGCCCUUGAUUUGGUGAUCCAAUACUGCUAUGGCAGCUGCUGGAAAAACUGCAAGCUCCAUCAGUGAUGCUGAAACCUUUGCUUGUGGUGUUUACAUGAUGGUUUCACGUUCACUGUUUUUUAAAUUGCAGCUUGAUGGAGGGACUCCUACAGAGGUGUUUCUUCUGCAGAAACUUAUUUCUUCUUGCUGUAGCCAUCAGGUCUUGUACAAACUAUUCUUGGAGGAGAAUUGGCUUUUGUUGCAUAAUGUAUGUUUGCAUAAGAGUUAGUGGACUGCUGCUGUUAAUGACGGUGGUAAUAACUGUGUCUGCUCCAGUGACAGCAGCUGCUCAGCUGUGAUAUUAAGGUAAGCAACCUCAGGCAGAUGCCAGUGGUGCAGCUGUCCUUACUGCUAUCCUCGGGUUAGUUGGAUUACAGCAAAACUGCUUUGCUACAUGCCACAGAGAUGCUCUCGAGCAUAACUUGGAGGAUGCUACCAAAUAUCCUGCUUGUCUAAUUGUAAUGUGAUGUUUCAAUGGCUGCACGCAGUGCAUUGUUUUGCAUUCAGCCAUGUAAAAUGCUCCCAGGUUCCAGUUCCUACAGAUUUAUGAGGUUGCUCACAUUUUGUUGCUGGCGUGCUCUUUCUCCCCACUGGUGCAGCGGAAGCCACUUAAAACUUGAACCGAAACAACUGUAACAUGUGGAAGGUUAACUCCCACCAUCACAUAUUGCUGUGUGGGGAGAUGGGGGUUGCUGAUCUUUCGAAUAAAUCGUGUAUUUUU